GCCUGGGUGGCUCAGUCGGUUAAGUGUCCGACUUAGGCUCGGGUCAUGAUCUCGCAGUUGGUGGGUUCGAGCCCCUCAUCGGGCU
rnacentral:tRNA from 1 species